rnacentral:rRNA from 1 species
GACGAACGCUGGCGGCGUGCUUAACACAUGCAAGUCGAACGGAGUGGCGAACGGGUGAGUAACACGUGGGUGACCUGCCCUGCACUUCGGGAUAAGCCUGGGAAACUGGGUCUAAUACCGGAUAGUGUGGGAUGGGCCCGCGGCCUAUCAGCUUGUUGGUGGGGUACUGGCCUACCAAGGCGGCGACGGGUAGCCGGCCUGGGAGGGGGGACGGCCACAUUGGGACUUAGGCACGGCCCAGAGUGCUACGGGGGGCAGCGGUGGCGAAUAUUGAGCAAUGGGCGGAAUCCUGAUGCCGCGACGCCGCGUGGGUGAUGACGGUCUUCGUGUUGUAAAAUCCUUUCACCAUCGACGCGGUAGAUGGAGAAGAAGCACCGGCUAACUACGUGCCAGCAGCCGCGGUAAUUC